ensembl:snRNA
GUGUCGUAGGAAAGGAGAGAAGGUUAGCACUCCCUUUGACAAGGAUGGAAGAUGCCCUCGGGCCUAAAACAUGCAUAUGGUUAAGGCUUUGCCACCUACUUUGUGGCAUUUAUCAUGGCUUUUU